rnacentral:lncRNA from 1 species
GGGUGCCAGAUGAUUUAAUCCCAUGAAAAAGAAAGCGAAAGGAAGAACUUAUUUUUCUGCAAAAUCCUAGAUGUUGAAAUCUUAGGAUUUGUUGUAUGCGAUACAAAGCAUGAGUUGUAUGAAAAAUAAAAUAUCUAAUCCAUAUGAUUAAAAUUAUUUAAUCAUGGAGAUAAAAUUUAGAAUCAUAAAAUGUUUAGAUAUAAUCUAAAGUUC